GACGAACGCUGGCGGCGUGCCUAAUACAUGCAAGUAGAACGCUGAAGGAGGAGCUUGCUUCUCUGGAUGAGUUGCGAACGGGUGAGUAACGCGUAGGUAACCUGCCUGGUAGCGGGGGAUAACUAUUGGAAACGAUAGCUAAUACCGCAUAAGAGUAGAUGUUGCAUGACAUUUGCUUAAAAGGUGCAAUUGCAUCACUACCAGAUGGACCUGCGUUGUAUUAGCUAGUUGGUGGGGUAACGGCUCACCAAGGCGACGAUACAUAGCCGACCUGAGAGGGUGAUCGGCCACACUGGGACUGAGACACGGCCCAGACUCCUACGGGAGGCAGCAGUAGGGAAUCUUCGGCAAGGGACGGAAGUCUGACCGAGCAACGCCGCGUGAGUGAAGAAGGUUUUCGGAUCGUAAAGCUCUGUUGUAAGAGAAGAACGAGUGUGAGAGUGGAAAGUUCACACUGUGACGGUAUCUUAACAGAAAGGGACGGCUAACUACGUG
rnacentral:rRNA from 1 species